rnacentral:tRNA from 1 species
UGAGCUUUAAGUUAUACAAACUGUAAGCCUUCCAAGCUAAAAAAAAGUUAUUCUUAAGCUCAA